rnacentral:rRNA from 1 species
GCUAGUAAUCGCGAAUCAGAAUGUCGCGGUGAAUACGUUCCCGGGUCUUGUACACACCGCCCGUCACACCAUGGGAGUCGGAUAUGCCCGAAGUCAGUGACCCAACCAUAUGGAGGGAGCUGCCGAAGGUGGAGCCGAUAACUGGGGUGAAGUCGUAACAAGGUAUC